rnacentral:rRNA from 2 species
AUAAAACAAUGAGUAAUUAAUUUUGUAUAGAGAUACAUAAUUAGUCAGAGAACAAACACUUUAUGGAGAGUUUGAUCCUGGCUCAGAGUGAACGCUGGCGGCGUGCUUAACACAUGCAAGUCGAACGAGAACGGGAUUAGCUUGCUAAUCUGUCAGCUAAGUGGCGCACGGGUGAGUAAUAUAUAGGUAACGUGCCUUCAAGAGGGGGAUAACAGAUGGAAACGUCUGCUAAAACCCCAUAUGCCUUUAAUACGAAAGUAUGCAAGGGAAAUAUUUAUAGCUUGAAGAUCGGCCUGUACAGUAUCAGAUAGUUGGUGAGGUAAUAGCUCACCAAGUCAAUGACGCUUAACUGGUUUGAGAGGAUGAUCAGUCACACUGGAACUGAGACACGGUCCAGACUCCUACGGGAGGCAGCAGUGGGGAAUAUUGCACAAUGGGGGAAACCCUGAUGCAGCAACGCCGCGUGGAGGAUGACACAUUUCGGUGCGUAAACUCCUUUUAUAUAAGAAGAUAAUGACGGUAUUAUAUGAAUAAGCACCGGCUAACUCCGUGCCAGCAGCCGCGGUAAUACGGAGGGUGCAAGCGUUACUCGGAAUCACUGGGCGUAAAGAGCGUGUAGGCGGAUAGAUAAGUCAGAAGUGAAAUCCAAUAGCUUAACUAUUGAACUGCUUUUGAAACUGUCUAUCUAGAGUAUGGGAGAGGUAGAUGGAAUUUCUGGUGUAGGGGUAAAAUCCGUAGAGAUCAGAAGGAAUACCGAUUGCGAAGGCGAUCUACUGGAACAUAACUGACGCUGAGACGCGAAAGCGUGGGGAGCAAACAGGAUUAGAUACCCUGGUAGUCCACGCCCUAAACGAUGUACACUAGUUGUUGCCAUGCUCGACAUGGCAGUAAUGCAGUUAACACAUUAAGUGUACCGCCUGGGGAGUACGGUCGCAAGAUUAAAACUCAAAGGAAUAGACGGGGACCCGCACAAGCGGUGGAGCAUGUGGUUUAAUUCGACGAUACGCGAAGAACCUUACCUGGUCUUGACAUAGUAAGAACCAUUUAGAGAUAGAUGGGUGUCUGCUUGCAGAAACUUAUAUACAGGUGCUGCACGGCUGUCGUCAGCUCGUGUCGUGAGAUGUUGGGUUAAGUCCCGCAACGAGCGCAACCCUCGUCAUUAGUUGCUAACACUUCGGGUGAGAACUCUAAUGAGACUGCCUACGCAAGUAGGAGGAAGGUGAGGACGACGUCAAGUCAUCAUGGCCCUUACGACCAGGGCUACACACGUGCUACAAUGGGGUAUACAAAGAGCAGCGAUACAGUGAUGUGGAGCAAAUCUAAAAAAUACCUCCCAGUUCGGAUUGUAGUCUGCAACUCGACUACAUGAAGUUGGAAUCGCUAGUAAUCGUAGAUCAGCAAUGCUACGGUGAAUACGUUCCCGGGUCUUGUACUCACCGCCCGUCACACCAUGGGAGUUGAUUUCACUCGAAGCGGGGAUGCUAAGAUAGCUACCCUCCACAGUGGAAUUAGCGACUGGGGUGAAGUCGUAACAAGGUAACCGUAGGAGAACCUGCGGUUGGAUCACCUCCUUUCA